AUGUUCCUGUUUUCAGGUGCACGCUCGGGAAAGGGGCCAAAUGUUCCAUCAGAUUCCCAGCAAUUGGAUGCUUGUUCAGAUGGUCUUCAAAAUUGUGGUGCAUCUGCAGGGACGAACAAUGACAGAGACAAGGAAAGAAUAGAUUCGGCUCAGGGAAAUCGUGUUUGCCCUCUUAAUGUUGAUGAGAGUAAACUCGAAAAUGUCAAGAGGGACAUUGUGUGGUCCAAAAUCAAAGAGAUAACAGAAAAUGAUAGACUUCCUGAUGCUGAAGCGGCCGAGAAGCUAGUUAAAUUAUUGCAACUUGAUCGAACUGAAUAG
rnacentral:rRNA from 1 species